UUUGUCUCCGUUCUGUCUAAAUUUUUUUUGUCUUCGUGAUAAUUUUUACUUUUAUUUCCAAGUUUUUAUUGCCCGACAGUUGGCGUGUUUAAGUUUAUUUUUGAAUUAUUCAAUUCAACCUCGCCAUAUUUAAUGCUCGACCUUUUCAAAGUACAAGCUGAACGUUACUUUAACUAUCCAGACAGUUACGCAUUAAUAAUAUUUUUGUAGAUAUUUUCGACCGGCCAUCGGAAGUAUUUUUUAAUUUCAUUACUUGAUUAAUAACACGUCAUCAGACUCUGCCACACGGCAACUUCAGAAGUGCCACUUUGUCUAAGUGACAAUGAGGAAGACUCCAUCUGUAACCGACGCUGAGGUCCGGACCUGGAUGAAUCUUCUCUCAACGCCUCGGUACCCCGCCUGGAGCUCACCGGAACAGCGUUGGGUCCCCAAUCCAGUUUUACGGAGCGGCAUCCAAGGACUUUCCAUAAGUGUACUUGGAGUUAAACAGGAUUGUUGGUAGAAAUCUUGAAGAAGAUUUCUUUGGUGUUCUUGAUGUUUUGUGUCCAAGCUUGAUAGAAAAUAUACAAGCGGAAGACAGGUCGGAUAGGCAAGCAGUUAGCUGACCUGGUACAACAGACACCGAGCACUGAGCCAACAGCCAUUAGAUGCCUUGUCCUGAGAGGACUUCCAGUCAUUCUUGGGGAUGAUGCGUCUGUGUUCGGCGAAUAAAGUUUUUUGAUUGGUGUUUGACUGGUGUUUUUCCAUCCUCCUAUGUUUUGUUUAUUUGGGAUGCUGGGUUAUGAUAAUUAGCAUUUAUGAAGAUGUUUUAUUAAACUUAAGUGGAUUCUAACUUUAUAAUGUGCUUUCACUGUUAGCAAGAGGAAAUGAAUAACUGCAUUUAAUAUUGUAAAUUAUGCUAAAAUUUAAAGGGCUUGUAUAGUCACUUGAAUUCUGCAAAAACAAAAAGCCUAAAGCACUGAGGGGCUGCUGUUGGAACUUCCAGUUGAUGCAUAGUUUGUGGCGGCUCCACAGAAUGAAUGGACCACGACAGACACUUAUACAUGAUGACACAAAAAUGCCUCUAAUAGCUUGUUUACACAAAAUUAUCUAAAAUAAAACCACUGUGAAUUAUGAACAUUGAAAAGACCACACAGCUGAUUGUAGACUAAUUCCUGUUAACCUGAAUAUCCUCCUCUUAGUACUGUAAGGUAAU